GAUUCCAUGGAGAAUAUCACACUACAUUUAGUCUCCGUCGUGCCUCCGCGGCAUCCUCUGGUCUGUGACAGUUCCUGAGAUUUUCCUAAUUUUUGAUGCCCUUCACAAUAUUGGGAAGUACUGACCAGAUAUAUUGUAAAAUGUCCCUCAAACUGAAUUUAGUUGGGGUGUAGAUCAUGGUUAGACUAUGGUUAUGGGUGUUUAGAUGAGGUGAAGUGCUAUUCUCCAAACACCUUAUCAAGGUUAUAGAAUAUCAAUUUCAUGUACCACUGUUGAUGUUGAAGUUGAUCACCUGGUAUAUUAGCUUCCUGUAGCUGCCACAACAAAUGCCCUCAAAGUUGGCAACUUACAACAACAGAAAAUUAUUCUUUCACAGUUCUGGAGGCCCAAACUGCAAAAUCAAUAUGCAGGGCCUCACUCCCUCUGAAAGCUCUAAGAGCAAAUCCAUUCCUUGAGUCCUCCAGCUCUGGCAGCUGCAGGGCAUUGGUCAGCGUUCUUUGGCUUGUAGCCCCAUUGCUCUAGUCUCUGCCUCAUUCUUCACAUCACCUUCUCCUCUUCUGACUCUCUCUUCUGUGUACCUGUUAGAAAGACACUUGUCAUUGGAUCUAGAGCCCACCUGG
rnacentral:lncRNA from 10 species